GGGCAGCAGUGGGCACGCGAAGGGGUUAAGGGAAGUCCUGAGUGUUUCCCAUUUUCUCAUCUGGGCUGCUGAGAUUAAGGAGAUAAAUGCAUAUAAAGCACUGCCCAUGCUUUCUGGCCCAGCUCGGGGCUCUAACUAUUGGUUGCACCCAUGCUGAGGACUAACCUCAGCCCAGGCAAAGGCUGGAGGCGGCCCACCCAAAAGCAGAUGCUUCCCAAGGCCGGGUCACUGCACAAGAGCCAAACGCAUGCACCGGAUGAGAUCGUAUGCAAUUGGAGGGGACCUGCUCUCCUGAAAAAGUCACCCUGAAAGUUCUCAUUGGCCAGAUCUGAAGGUGUUGAGGUUGGAACCAACAGCAAAGAGGCAACCGCAGACCUUGGUUGCCGGAGAAGUCACUGUCUUUUCCAAGCAGCAAAACCACACACGAGUCCCUUGGAGCUCGUCUGGAAGCCUCGAAAUCUCACUGCCAACAAAAAUGUUUCCCCUCGAAUUAUAGCACAGACUUCAGAGGGGAGGGAAUUUAAUGCACAGAACCACCCACCAGGGAAGGACAGCAGAAAAAAUGAGAGGUUCAAGAGCCACAUGGUGAAAAGCGCCCACGGAAAAAUUGUGACAUUAAAUAGUAAACUGCAAAGGAUUUGAAGCCCAGAUAAACACCAUGAGCUAACGUCAGCCAAGGAGAGUGGGAUUCAGUCAAUGGAAACAGGCAAACACUUCAAUCAAUGUUCAUAAACAGGCCUUUUCAUCCUUCCCCCAGAGGAAGAAACUUGAGGGGCACACGGCCCACAAGGUGAGGAGACUGCGGCUGACUUGAAGUCUUUGGCCAACUCUCCAGGCUUCUGGCAAGUAGACACUAUGCCGGGGGGGCAGAGAGGUCCGGCCAGCAGCCAAGCCCACCCAGGUCUCGCCAGCCGGGUAUGGGUCAUCUGCUGUUUCUGAUGUGACAGCUGAAACUCCCAGGGACUUCUUUUUUCACACAGCCUUUACCUACUGUUCUUUGAAAGUGAACUUUUGUUUUUGGAUUCUUGAACAUCUGAAGGAGAAUCCCACCACAAAAGCCUCCAGCCUCCCUGCCCCGGGCCUGCGUGGGACCCUCCUGCUGACCCCUCCCUCCCAUCUCCUCUGUGCUGCCUCCCCGAUGCCCAGGCCUGUCCCACAUCCCAAGGCCUCUCUGGAAUCUGUUUCCUCUGCCCUGCAUCUUUCAACUCAAAGUUCAUCUGAUCAGUUUAUUCCUCCGCCAAGGCCAGGACUCCUGCUGCCUUUGAAAGCCACAUGUGCUUUUUUUAGAAGAUGACCUUUGGAAAAAAAACAAUUUGUUCCUUUGCCUUUGGCCUUAACAUGACAUUAGGGAAGUGAGAAGCACAGCUGGGCAAUGAAGUGGAAGCAAACGUUGAGGGGAACUGAGAAAGACUGAGAAGGUUCACAUCAUAAGCAGUGAACAUGCCAGGACGCUUUCCCCGCUGGCAACGGUGGCCUGGGCCGCCCUGGGGGCUGCAUGCCUUUGAGGUCAAAAAGCUAGAUCCACUGGUGGCAGCAGUGGUCCCCAGUCCACACUCAACCCACAUCGCAAUGGCCACCAUUAGACACUCGUUCCAAAGCAAAGUCAGCCCGCCCACAAAUUCAGCCCCCUCCGACGCUGCUCUUCAUCCAUGGGGCAAGGAUGUCUCACACACGCAGAGAUUGCUGGUGUGAUUUCUCCAACCCGAACUGCAGGUCAUUGUCAGCAUUUCGAAGUGUCGAUGAAGGAAUCGCCUUCAUUGAAAAACAAAACCAGUAGAACCUGCCUUUUGCCCUUAUGCCCUCCCUUGCAGAGGCCUUCCUGUUAACCAGCGUUCCUGCCACCAUGGCGUCUCAUUUGCAUCUGUUCUUCAUCAGAAGCAGAAGUGUCAGCCCUUUUCCACUAGGGCCAGCAGGUCACUUCACCUGGAAACAGAGCCAUCAGGGACACCCGGCAAUCCUUCCUCCUAAUUACAGCGUCCUCGCUAACCACUCCAGGAUGGCCCCUGAGUAACUGGGGUGAAAAUCGAACAUAACCCUGUCUGGAGAUCUUCCGCAUUCACCUAAGCCAGGGCGCAGGAAUGCAGGUGUCUCUGACAUUAUGCUGCCAUGCCCUCUGCUGCACACUGAUUUGCAAAGUGAAAACGAUCCUCAGUACAAAACUGUCUCCAUCUGCAACCUGCAGGGAAGAUCAAAAGAGGCAGGGCGACAGACUGAGCAGUCCUGCAGAGGGAAAGGGAGCUUCUCAGGGAGGGGCAGCCCAGUGGCCGGCACGGGCACAGCAUGGCAUAGAAUUUUUAAGUCCCAGUUUGUCAUGUCCUCUCUACAAAACCUAACUCUUGAUCCAUGUGAUAACAUCCUCACAUGACUGUUCCCACCUCGGGUUCUCAGAAAUCUGUCCGUGCUGGUGUGUGACUGAGACUAGAGUCACUGGCUAGAGGCCAACACAGCACACAUUCACCCAAAUUGUCCUUGCCAGCAGCAGCCCUGCAUGAUGACGCUUGGUGAAAACUGACCCAGCCCCACACCGGAAGGCUUUGUGUGUCAGUUACCCCUAGGAAAAGGACAGGGUCAAAAGUCAUCCCAAGAGGAAAUGUGGCCCCAGCACCCAAGGCCUCCUCUCUCUGUCUCCAGGAAACUCUCAUCUAACAAAUCAGAUAUUAGCACCAUGAACCCUGAGUGCCGCUUAACCUCUGAACUUAUCAAACAACACCAGCAAAUAGUCAUUUACUCCUAGGUUACCCAAGGGUAGCUAAAAGAGAAAACGGAUGAAAGAACAGCUUUACAGGAUCUUGGUGGACAUUUUAUGGGCAUAUUUACUUGUUGGCGUCUUUACGGCUUUUCCCUGAAGACUGUCAUUACGGUAACAGAUGGCUUCAUCCUUAACUGCUCAGUAAAUAAAACGGCUUUAAAAUUUU